AUCCAGCUGACAAGUCUCAAAUAGGACGAAACACGCCUUGUCCUAGAU
rfam:Schistosoma rodhaini strain Burundi genome assembly, scaffold: SROB_scaffold0011973